GACGAACGCUGGCGGCGUGCCUAACACAUGCAAGUGGAGCGACGAACCAGGCUUCGGCCUGGGGCAAAGCCGCGAACGGGUGAGUAACACGUGGGUAACCUGCCCUGAUGAUUGGGACAACCCGAGGAAACUCGGGCUAAUACCGAAUGUGCCCUCCGGCCUCAAGGCCGCUGGGGAAAGGAAGCUUCGGCCUCCGCAUCGGGAUGGGCCCGCGGCCCAUUAGCUUGUUGGUGAGGUAACGGCUCACCAAGGCGACGAUGGGUAGCUGGUCUGAGAGGACGAUCAGCCACACUGGGACUGAGACACGGCCCAGACUCCUACGGGAGGCAGCAGUGGGGAAUCUUGCGCAAUGCGCGAAAGCGUGACGCAGCAACGCCGCGUGGGGGAAGAAGGCCUGGU
rnacentral:rRNA from 1 species